CUAUACAUGCAAGUCGAGCGGACAGAUGGGAGCUUGCUCCCUGAUGUUAGCGGCGGACGGGUGAGUAACACGUGGGUAACCUGCCUGUAAGACUGGGAUAACUCCGGGAAACCGGGGCUAAUACCGGAUGGUUGUUUGAACCGCAUGGUUCAGACAUAAAAGGUGGCUUCGGCUACCACUUACAGAUGGACCCGCGGCGCAUUAGCUAGUUGGUGAGGUAACGGCUCACCAAGGCGACGAUGCGUAGCCGACCUGAGAGGGUGAUCGGCCACACUGGGACUGAGACACGGCCCAGACUCCUACGGGAGGCAGCAGUAGGGAAUCUUCCGCAAUGGACGAAAGUCUGACGGAGCAACGCCGCGUGAGUGAUGAAGGUUUUCGGAUCGUAAAGCUCUGUUGUUAGGGAAGAACAAGUGCCGUUCAAAUAGGGCGGCACCUUGACGGUACCUAACCAGAAAGCCACGGCUAACUACGUGCCAGCAGCCGCGGUAAUACGUAGGUGGCAAGCGUUGUCCGGAAUUAUUGGGCGUAAAGGGCUCGCAGGCGGUUUCUUAAGUCUGAUGUGAAAGCCCCCGGCUCAACCGGGGAGGGUCAUUGGAAACUGGGGAACUUGAGUGCAGAAGAGGAGAGUGGAAUUCCACGUGUAGCGGUGAAAUGCGUAGAGAUGUGGAGGAACACCAGUGGCGAAGGCGACUCUCUGGUCUGUAACUGACGCUGAGGAGCGAAAGCGUGGGGAGCGAACAGGAUUAGAUACCCUGGUAGUCCACGCCGUAAACGAUGAGUGCUAAGUGUUAGGGGGUUUCCGCCCCUUAGUGCUGCAGCUAACGCAUUAAGCACUCCGCCUGGGGAGUACGGUCGCAAGACUGAAACUCAAAGGAAUUGACGGGGGCCCGCACAAGCGGUGGAGCAUGUGGUUUAAUUCGGAAGCAACGCGAAGAACCUUACCAGGUCUUGACAUCCUCUGACAAUCCUAGAGAUAGGACGUCCCCUUCGGGGGCAGAGUGACAGGUGGUGCAUGGUUGUCGUCAGCUCGUGUCGUGAGAUGUUGGGUUAAGUCCCGCAACGAGCGCAACCCUUGAUCUUAGUUGCCAGCAUUCAGUUGGGCACUCUAAGGUGACUGCCGGUGACAAACCGGAGGAAGGUGGGGAUGACGUCAAAUCAUCAUGCCCCUUAUGACCUGGGCUACACACGUGCUACAAUGGACAGAACAAAGGGCAGCGAAACCGCGAGGUUAAGCCAAUCCCACAAAUCUGUUCUCAGUUCGGAUCGCAGUCUGCAACUCGACUGCGUGAAGCUGGAAUCGCUAGUAAUCGCGGAUCAGCAUGCCGCGGUGAAUACGUUCCCGGGCCUUGUACACACCGCCCGUCACACCACGAGAGUUUGUAACACCCGAAGUCGGUGAGGUAACCUUUUAGGAGCCAGCCGCCGA
rnacentral:rRNA from 1 species